rnacentral:lncRNA from 1 species
CACACACGUGCACAUAGACACAUGCAUGUGAACACCCACACAUCUGAAGUGCCUGUAGUCAUUAAAGUUAGAGGCGCAGAUGAAUGUGGUCUGAGGCUAGCUAUGAAUCUUACUAACAGUCACCAAGAAAGAUCAAUACAUUUAACUCUUUUCUUCUAAGUUGGCACAAGGUUUCACUGGAGGGCCUCGGGCAGCUCAAGGUGAAAUUCUUCCUGCAACACCUGUUGUGGGGCCCAGGGGCAGCAAAGGGAGGAGGUAUGUGGGGUGCCCUGGAGCCUGUGCACAGGGGCUCGUGUGAGCCACUGGGCCACCUCUUCCCAACUCCGUGUUUGGUCACAGCACUUCAGUGACUAGAAAUCAGUCCCGGUGGGAAUAUUUACUCCAUGGAGGCCAGUAAGUGCCACACGUCAGAGCUUCUUAUUCUGGAGGGCCAGUUAGGAUCACACCAUGUGUCCCACUCACAGAGUGUUUGUGACCUGCUUGGGGGUGGGCGACUAGAUGGUGACACAGAGGAUGUUCAAGGUAACAGUGUGUUUUGAAGGGAAGGCAGGAGCCUGGGGCCGAGUCACGGAAGGCAUGCUGUGGACUUGCACUGGGUUUUGGAAGGCAGGGAGGGCUUGGGCAGAGGGAGACAGAGGUCCCAGGAGGUAACAGCCUGAGCACAGAGAAGCACGAGGGUCAGAGAGUGGGGUGUUAGCAAGGAGGGUUAGGUGAGUUUUCAGGCAAAAGAGAAGGGCCUGGAAAGCCAUGUUAGGAGUUGGCCUUUGUCCUUGCAGGGCAGGGGUUCUUAGUGGGCACAAGAGCCUCCUCCCACCUCUGGCCCCGGGGACAUUUGGCAAUGUCUGGGGACAUUUGUGUUUCUCUGUCAUAACAGGGGAUAGGGAGGAGUACUAGUGGCCUCAGUGGGUAGAGGCCAGGGAUGCCGAUAAACAUCGCACAGCACCCGCUUAAGACAGCCCCUGACAGUAAAGAACUUUCUGGCCUCAAAUGUCAAUAGUA